CAGGGAUCAUACCGACCUCAGCGGAGUUCCAAGCUCACACCAAAAAUCUGAAAGGUCUGAAAGAGCUCCCAGCGUAUUCUUCAUGGAGUACAGAAAACUGAAAGAGGUGUGCAUGCACAUGCUGACAGCCAGACUAAGAGAGCAGUGCUGUCACAUUUCAUCUGCCAAAGGCGAAGAGAAAGGGCUGGAUGUGAACUUCAAGAUCAAGUCAUGCUUUUGAGACCGAACUCUGAGGACAUUCCUCAGGGCAACUAGGAGAAAAUGUCUCAGAAGUUUGCCCCAGCUCAAGAUAAAGAUGAAUCUUUCCUGGUAACUGAAGCCCUAAAUCAGAAGCAUAAUAAUAGCAUGGAUACAAGAAGGAGGAAAGGAGAGCCGCGGCCACCACCCAGGGCAGCUCACAGAAGAUCUCUUUCUUCCUGGAGGCUCAGGCUGCCUUUCCUCUGGGACCUCUGCCUUUCCUCGGUGUUUGCCUUUAUGCACCAGUUGACAUUUUGACUAUUUCCUAAGGCAUUCUGUGAGAAAUAAAAAUAAAAAUAAAUUGAAAGAGUA